GGGGAUAUAGCUCAGUUGGUAGUGUGUUUGCUUUGCAUGCAAAAGGCCCUGGGUUCAAUCCCCAGCACUACCC
rnacentral:tRNA from 1 species